AAAAGCCAAAAGAAAAAGUAAUAAAAAUAGGAUUUCUUACUAAUAAUUCUGCCUUUCUGCAACCCACCACUGACUUCAUAAUUUCCCUGUUUUUAUCUUCACUCUCUUCUUAUUUGUGGCUACUGUACCCACAACAUUCUUUCUUCUUCACUGCUUUUAAUUUGUUUCCAUCUCCAAGGUCUAUCAAGCAUCCAGUCAAGCUAGCUUUGUAUGAUAGUCAACGAAGUCAACUUCACUGCUUCAUUUUCUGUUCUAAUCUCUCAACACUUUUCAGCCACUAAGUCAGGUAAUAAGGCAAUGAUUUCCUCUACUGAUUAUCAACAGUUUUAGAUUUUAAGACAGAAUAGCAGACAUAAUCUAUCAUAGAUAGAAAUUAAUACAAAAAGAGCUACCCAGAAGCAAUAUAAUGUUGAAAUCUCAGACUGUUGAACAUUUUACCUCUUAAUAUUCUGUAAUGAACUCUUGCGCACUUGAAUCUAGCAUUUUAUAUACAUUGAGAGCUUGAUUCUGGUGACAAGAA